UUCACUUGCUACUUCUACUGGAAUCAGUUAUUUCAACCAUGGUACCCAAAACUGACUGCUUAAUAGAGUCUCUGGGAGAUUUUGGAAGAUCAAAAUCCUGGACCCUUCCCUGCUGAAUCAGUGUCUUUGGAGGUAUCAUCAGGAAGAUGGAAAAAUGUAAUUUAAAGUGUAUAGAGAGAAGUUAAACAUAUUGAUUAUAAGAAAUCUAACAAUAUAGAAAGUAAAAACUCAUCAUUUUUCAGGGAUUCUCAUGAACAGUUUUAGUAGAUAUCCUUCUAGAUAUGUGUGGGCAUUCACACCUAUCUUUAGUUCCUGCUCUAUCUCUUUCUGGUGGUACGGGGUGGGGAAAAGGGCAUUCCAAGCACAUAAAAACCAAAGCUUGAGGAGAGAAGAAGUGCACGAGAGCAUCACCACAGCGGUGAAUUUUAUUGUGAGUUGCCUCAUAUUGCUUUAACAAGGAGGCAGCACAUGUCUAGAUAUUAAAAACAAAUAAGACACCAAACAACCAACGUGUCACUCAUUGAGUGGGUUGCUUCUUUUAAGUAUUUUUAGAUUCUAUGAUAAUUACGUAGAGUGGAGAGUGGAGAUAGACUCACAACGGUGAAAUAUCUUAUUUGUCAAAGUAAAGUAUGUAUGUAUUUCUGUCUUCCUUGUUUUCCUCAUGUAUUCCUUAGCAUUCUGAUAUUGUGUCAUAGGAUGUUGAGUUGUAAAGCCUAUCUGGGUUCAUAUUUUACAUACUAGCUUGUCUUAAGUCAUAUAACCAGUAAAUAGAAGGCCUGGAAGUUGAGUACAUCUCUGUCAGGUUCCAGAUCCCAUGCCAUUGAUUAUCAUCUAUAAUGUCUUGAUGAAGCUUUUAACUAGCUGGGUGGUGGAAUGAUAAUCUAGUUUCCUCAUAUGUAAAAUGGGGAUGGAACUAUGCAAACCAAGCACUGUUGUGAGGAAUAAAUGAGAUAUUUUUUGUGAAAGUGGUUUGUAAAUCAAUUUGAUCUUC
rnacentral:lncRNA from 10 species